rnacentral:ncRNA from 1 species
GCAGAGUAGAUUUUCAGGCGUAAAGUGCUGUGGGGACGGGGAGUUGCCCCAUGGACGAAAAGCCGGGUAUCCGGCUUGCGGUCUGAAGGUCGCAUCCCGCUGU